GAAAGAUGGAAACUGGAAGAAAAUGAGCGACAGCAAGGGAAACAGACAUCAUCCCCAAAGCCUGCUGGGUAAAAGAGCUAACACUCUAGGGUGUCCAUGGCAACCAGCAAGACCCAGCCUAGACACUUGCUUAGUAACAUUGCUGACAACAAAAGCAAAACCUAUAAAAUAUGAUUGAAGCAGAAAUAUGGUGAAAGCCAACUUUCAAUAUCUUUAGUAUCAAAAGAGAAAAUGUGUGAAUUAAGCUUUCAAUCUAAGAUUUGACAGGCAUCUACAAGUUAACACGUUAACUUCCGAGUCUGAAUCCCAACCAAUAACAAAUAGAACCUGUGACUCUCGUUGUCUCCAGGAUUUCACCAUAAAUGGAAGAAAAUGAAAAAUUCACACUCAUGUCUGACAACGGGAGACCUCUAGAGGAGAGAGCUCAGCCCACGGGAAUGGGUCACACAUUGUGAAUUAUCAGGCAUGACUGAAGGGUGCUCUGGGGCCUGGCGCAUAUGUGACCUUUGCAGUUUGAAGACAAAAUUCUCCCAAGGGCGUAGAUAAGUGAGUCAAGGAAGCUACAGCCCUUGUUAACCUGCAUUUGAGUUUUGCUUAUAAAAAUAGAACCACAAAUGGAUAUUCUUUUUCCAACUAUUCAUUUCAAAAACAAGUCUAGGUUUCUAAAGGAAAGGUUAACAGCUUUUUCAUGGGUGACAAAAUGCUUUUGAACUUUUUUGAACUAACUUGAGCCUUUUUCAAAGACUUUCCACUCUUUGCACUGACUGUUGUUGCUGUCUACUGAGCUGAGAUUGAUUGGACUGGCACAUGUCUUCUUUCCACUACAUGUGACUGUGCUGAAUGCAGGAUUAGCAUCUUGGAUUGGUGUCACCAGCACUUAGCAGAGUGCCUGCCAAAGCACAAGUGCUCAAUAAAUGCUUAUUGAGUUGAAAAUGACCAUUUUACCCUCCUGGAUGGCUCGAAAG
rnacentral:lncRNA from 1 species